rnacentral:lncRNA from 1 species
GAAAGCUCUUAAAGCUAGGGGUUUUAGAGAACCCAGAAAAGUGAGAAAUAUUUUGAAAGUUACCGAUCUAGCCCGAAAAGCUAUAGAUCUGACUCGAACGGUCAUAGAUGCCCGGAAAAGACCAAAGAUAGAGGUUGACCAAGGACUGGACCAUAUCUCUUUGAGAUCUGUCCCUGAAAUCACGAAAAUAGGUAACCAGUAGAUAUAUGAGACGAGUACAUGUAUUAAAUAGCCAUGUGAGCCCAUGGAUUUGGUGGGGAUUGAAAGGGAUUAGGGUUGAUUUGGGUGGCGGCGGCUAAGGUUUAAAUGAGGUUGCAGAGUGAGUUUGAGAGGAAAGGGAUUCAAGGGUGGCAGGUGGUGAAAAAUUAUUUAAGGUAAGGGGGUCGUUUAGGUUUACUUUAGGCAGGUGGAAUGAUGGCU